UGACACUUCGAUCUGUUUACAGUUCAGUUCAGUGUGCAAACAGGAGAAUCCGUGAGCCGACGAACCGCGAAGAAAAGGUUUGUUAUUGUGUGUUACACGUUGCAACGAAGUUAGGCUGUCAUUAAUAUCUCUCUUUUUCAGGUGAAAGGGCGCUUCAACUUGAAAAGUGAUUGCAAAAAGAGUGAAGGAAGAUGGCUGGAGCCGCGGCGGAAGAUAAGAGUUACUUUGAGCGUUUUUGCGAUUACAUGCGUCGCGAUACCAAGGGAGUGGAGAUCGCAACAUACACGAUAUCCGGCGUGCUUUUCGUAGUUGCCUACAACAAAAUUCGACCUCUAACCCGCUUCGCCAAAGCGUCGGACAUCCCGGGACACUUUAUCCGCGAGCAGAUUCCCCAGUACGGUCGCGUCCGCAAGAUUGAACCGUCGAUCCAGGCCGGCCCUCUGCUGGUCGUCCGCCACCAGCCCCCGCUGAAUUUGUUCUUCUGGUCCAGCAAGACCCUCCCGGUGAAGGUGUCCGGAAUCGACGUCAACGCCAACGGUUACUCCUGGCUCCAGUCCGUCGUCGUGGACCGACCGAUUACGUUCCUUCCGGUCGGGGGUGAAUCGGGACAAGAUCACGCCGAAUGUCGGGUGAUUUUCUAUGAUCGAUCCAAGGAUGGGAAGAGCGUCCGGCGGGUGGACGUUGGAGAGGCGCUGCUUAGCUUGGGAUUUGCCCGGAUGAGCGCGCCGGUUCCGGUGAAGGCGACGAAGCCGGUCAGCAAGGAUCCGUUCGAGCGGGCCGUUCAGGGGUACUUACGGGCACUGGCCAGAAGUGAGAACGAGGCCAAGAAUCGGCGCGUUGGACUGUGGCAGCAAAGCUUACCACCCAAACUGUGGCCCGCCAAGCUCUGGCAGAGCACGUGGGAUGGGCUGCUGUUGAAAGUUUCGCCAGCGUCCCGCCGGCUUCCGGAGCUGGUCCGUUGAACUGUGUGUGUGUGUGUGUGUGCGGAACCGAAUCCAAUCCGUCCAUCCGUGCAGUGUCACAGUGUCGAACGAAAAGCGCAGCAAAUCCAAUCAAAUCAAGCCCCAAGACGGCGAAUCAAAGCAAUGGCAAUACUGGAUAGUAUUUUUAUAGCAGAAAACGUUGUUCACUUUGUUGUUGUUGUUGUUUUGGCAAUUUUACUCCAUUGUGCGCGAUUUAGCGCCGCGUGCUUUAAUCGUGCGCGUGUUUUGCCCUUUAGGUAAUUUUUGGCGAGCGUUUGCAAAAAAAAUCGCUCUGUUUUAUUUUUUUGUUGAAGUGCAAGUAACGUUAGUUUAAUCCAAAUCCAAUUGUUGGCCCGUUUCAAAACGGCAUUAGUAGUGGUAAGAUGCUUGUGAAGGGUUCUCUAUUGAAGAUGUAUACAGAAAAGGAAGAAGUGAGAGAAAUAAAAGAGAUCGGUGCCAAACAAGUGCAGCAUAACUUCGAUUCGAUUUGUUUCGUGAAUUUUGGAGAGUUAUCCGUGAAGUCUUUUUUUAUGGCAGGCGUAUACAAAUAAGAUUGGUCUAAUAAAAGUGAAAGUAUCAAAUUUGAA